AAUGAACGCUGGCGGCAUGCCUAACACAUGCAAGUCGAACGGACGCACGAUGAGCUUUCUCCUCUUACGGUCGCGGGGGGCGGGUGAGUGACACAUAUAUGACCUUCCUCUAUGACGGGGGUAACUUCGUGGAACCAGUGCUAAUAACCGCUAAUAUCUUGAACGGGAUGGUGCAGGAGUGCAAGGCGGUUUGCCUUACGCGUAGCGAUGGUUCCAUGCCCCAUUAGCUAGUUGGUAAGGUAACGGCUUACCAAGGCAACGAUCCGUAGCUGGUCUGAGAGGAUGAUCAGCCACACUGGAACUGAGACACGGUCCAGACUCCUACGGGAGGCAGCAGUGGGGAAUUUUGGACAAUGGGCGAAAGCCUGAUCCAGCAAUGCCGCGUGUGUGAAGAAGGCCUUCGGGUUGUAAAGCUCUUUUGUUCGGAAAGAAAAGACGCUGGAUAAUACCUGGAGGUCAUGACGGUACCGAAAGAAUAAGCACCGGCUAACUACGUG
rnacentral:rRNA from 1 species